AUGGCAACACCGAGGGACAGCCGAGAAGUGAUCUGUUCUGCUCCAGGUCACAGUGGGGAGCUGAAGCCAGGCCUGAGCUCGGUUCCCAGCUACCCAGCACCACUUCUCCCCACAGCACCGCACGGCUUGGCUGGAUGUCAGGGAGGGGUGAGCCUUGGUAUGGGAGAUUGGAAAAUCACACGUCUGCUUCGGAGACACCUUCCGCGGCCUAGAAAGGCUGAGGCGCAGGGCCGGCGCGCGCGGGUGUGCCCAGGGCUGCGGCAACCAGCUGCCCGGGGCAGGGCGGACCCCGGCUGCGGGUGGCGCCGCUGGCUCGCGCGCUCACGUGUGGUGCGGAGGCGGCGACACGCCCCUCCCGGUCGCCCCCCCCCCCCCGGAGCCGGGUUGCUAGGACACCGGAGCCUGGAGACGCUGGUGGAUGUGGCAAUGGAGGUUCACCCAACUGGGAAUGAUCAGACCAAAGGAAACGGCGUGCGCGUUCGCGAGGGCAACCGGGGAUCGCGGGGCGGCUGCCGGUGCCGCGCCCCGGGAAGGCGGCUCCAGCUGCAGGGAAGGAAGCGAUGCCUCCGGGGCCUACCGCGCGUGUCCGUGUCCGGAGUCGCGUCUGCAGCCUCGGGACAGCUGGGCGGAGCGGCCGGCAUGGCGGCCUCCGGAGCUGCUCGCCCCUACCCUCUCUCCGGGAUGCCCUUGCUCCCGCGCCCGGCCCAGCGUGGCUGGCGUCCUCCAGGCCCUCAGCCCCUCACUCCCGGCUCGGCCUACGCUGCUGCUCGCGGAGGUGGGCGGCUCCGGAGCUGUCUACGGCGUGUUUGCUCACGCGUCUUCCUAGCCUGAAUGUCGGAUGCCCCAGCCGGUUCCCUUCCCACAGCUUCAGGCUCCCUCGGAGCUCAGCUGCCUGGGGCCGGACGUACCCCUGGCCCCAAAGAGGCCUUGCCUAAGCAGAAAGGCUGGGGGCAGAUGGCGGCCUAGCGGUUGAGCUGCCUAUGCGUUCCGUGUCCGAGUGCUGGUUCCAGCCCUGGCUCUGGUUUUGAUCCUUUUUUUUUUUUUUUUUAGAUUUAUUUAUUUAUUGAAAGAGUUAUACAGAGCGAAGGAAGGACAGAGAGAGAGAGAGAGAGAGAGAGAGGUCUUCCAUCUGCUGGUUCACUCCCCCAACUGACCGCAACAGCCGGAGCUGCGCCUAUCCGAAGCCAGGAGCCAGGAACUUCUUCUGGGUCUUCCACAUGGGUGCAGGGGCUCAAGGACUUGGGCCAUCUUCCACUGCUUUCCCAGGCCAUAGCUGACAGCUGGAUCAGAAGUGGAGCAGCUGGGUCCCAAACCAGCGCCCACAUGGGAUGCCGGCACUGCAGAUGGUGGCUUUACCAGCUACACCACAGCACUGGCUCCCUGUCUUCCUUCUAAUGUCGGUCUUUGGAGGCACCUGUGAUGGCACAAAUAGUAGAGUCCCUCCACCCACGUGGGUGACCCACAUAGAGUUCAGAGCUCCUGGCUUUGGCCUGGGUUGACCCUGGCUGUUGUGGGCAUUUGGGGGAGGCAGACAGCCGGUGGGAGUUCCCCCUGUCUGGAUCUGCACAGCAGAGUCACCUGGGCGGUGUUAGCAAAUGACCGUGUCUUGGCUUCAGCCCAGACCACCUGAAUCCGUGUCUCUGGGUGUAGGGUCCCCAGCAUCUGGGGAGGUCUUCAAAGUGGCCCGUGGGUGACUGCGGUGCAGCUGGAGGGGAGGACCUGGGAGGAGGGCGUCUGCACUCCACCGCUCUGUUGGGAGGUUUCUCCUCCU
ensembl:lncRNA